rnacentral:pre_miRNA from 1 species
CUAGUACUCCCUCCGUUCCAAAUUACUCGUCACAGAAAUGGAUGUAUCUAGAACUAAAAUACAUCUAGAUACAUCCAUACCUGCGACAAGUAAUUCGGAACGGAGGGAGUAACAA